UGCUCCGAAACACCUUCAAUUACUAAACUUUACAUUAAACAAACCGUUUCUCUUGAGGAAAAAUGGCGUUUUAAUACACCGAGGACCUGCGCAUUUGGACACUAUAAAUCUUUAAUUAAUCUCUAAAAAAUAUCGUAACGUUAAAAUAUUACCAGUUACUUUUUCACUUUAUACCAAGAAAAUUUUUUAUUUUACUUCUUUCUUGUAUUAUAUGUCUGGUGUAGAUAACAUCAAAGCUGAGAGAUUUAUGCGGUUGGGUGUAUUUAAUCAUAAACUCGCAGAAUAUUGGAAUUGUGCUCUGUUAGGUUCGUAUAAGGUUGCUACGAAGCCUGUCGCACUGAGUCCAUCACACUGCCUAUUGUCCACGGGCACGUAUGGGUUUUUUUUUUAUCAGCUUUUCAUCAUUCUCCAUAGCCUUGAUAGUGGCUUCUCAGUUAUAUUGAUUUCAGUUUUUCUUUGUGCGUGAGUAGAAACCUUUUCCUUGUGAGGCUUUUAUGAACUGAGGUUUUUUCUUCUAAGCAGGAAUAGACUGUUUGCAGCCACCCGAAAUAUUUUGAAACGAUUACAUUCGAAAACGUUCGAUCGCAGACUGCAAUGAAAUUGAGUUUUCGUCGGUCUUGAUGGAGAUCUGUAAAACUUUAGACGAAACUUUAUUAACAAAGUAUUGUAUUUUGCCGGUUCUGGGAUGUUGUUCCACUAGUUGAGUGUUUAAAACGAUCUGGAAAUUGCUUCUUUUUCAGAGUUUGAGCGAUUUAAGAACAUCUACUAAAGGGUAAAGCCGUUCUCCAAUGCCAAAUACUAUAAACAUAUAAGCAGAAAACGACAAGCAGAAACUGGUAAUGUUGAAUAAAAGUGAAUUAAUACUCGCUUCAAGAAAAUAAUUGAUAGCUUUGAAAAUCAUAGCGAUUUAAAUCAAAAGAUAAAUUGAAAUAUAGAAUCGAUGUUCAUUGAAAAUGUUGAUUAUUUUGUUAUCGACGAUGGAAAGGCUGAAGCCUCGAGUCGAUAAAAGUAGUAAAUAAACAAAGUCUAAACCG